rnacentral:sRNA from 1 species
GUAACGAAGUGCAGUAUCGGAGGGGGCGGACCACGGUCCGCCCCCUCCACCACGU